UACGUAGGGCGCGAGCGUUGUCCGGAAUUAUUGGGCGUAAAGCGCUCGUAGGCGGCCGGUUGCGUCUGCUGUGAAAUCCCGGGGCUUAACCCCGGGCGUGCAGUGGAUACGGGCCGGCUGGAGGCAGGCAGGGGAGAAUGGAAUUCCCGGUGUAGCGGUGAAAUGCGCAGAUAUCGGGAGGAACACCGGUGGCGAAGGCGGUUCUCUGGGCAUGUCCUGACGCUGAGACGCGAAAGCGUGGGGAGCGAACAGG
rnacentral:rRNA from 1 species